UCAUCUGAUAUUGCAACUGGAUUGACGGUGGGCUGUCGGUAUUGUCGGUUGGCGGUGGGUUGUUCUGCUCCUGUGCACAAGGUCGGCGAUAGAUUGAGAUAGACUAGCAGUGAAAUGGGUAGGCAUGCAGAUUGUGUUUCGGUUAGGCUAAGCUUAUUUCCAUUUGGACUGGAUUGGCUUGGUCAAUGAGUUGAGAUUUAAUGUUCUUAGAGCUAGUGAGUCUGGUC
rnacentral:lncRNA from 1 species